rnacentral:rRNA from 1 species
UACGAAGGGGGCUAGCGUUGCUCGGAAUUACUGGGCGUAAAGCGCACGUAGGCGGGUCAUUAAGUCGGGGGUGAAAUCCUGGAGCUCAACUCCAGAACUGCCUUCGAAACUGAUGAUCUUGAGUCCGGGAGAGGUGAGUGGAACUCCGAGUGUAGAGGUGAAAUUCGUAGAUAUUCGGAAGAACACCAGUGGCGAAGGGCGGCUCACUGGCCCGGUACUGACGCUCAUGUGCGAAAGCGUGGGGAGCAAACAGG